rnacentral:rRNA from 1 species
UAAUUCGGCCGUAUCACCUUGUUAAUGCCAGUCUGUUCAGAUCUCAGAAGCUAAGCAGGGUUGGUCCUGGUUAGUACUUGGAUAGGAGACCGUCGUGAACACCCGGUGCCACAAUGG